ensembl:lncRNA
CUUAUUUCUACAACGGCCUUUUUGUCCCAAGAAGGCCUCCUGGUUUAGCUGUGUGACUAAAUGCUAUUUGUCCUCUUCAGUGGACCUCUAUUCUCAAGAUUCUCUUGUUUUCUCACCAUCCCAUCUGAGAUGCUUGUUAGUAACUGUUACAGGUCUUCUUUACCACUGAGGAAAGACGGAAUCCUACUAGAGGACAGAAAGAAUGUUCCAGACACAGAUGGAAGGCCCUCACUUCUGCCUGUUGACUUGAACACCCCUGAAGUCACCAGUACUUUUAACAAGUGCAAAUGUGGAGAGGGGCAGUCCUCCUGGCUCUCCUGCAGGCUACCAUAGAAGAGCACAAACUUCGAGGUCACAUAAUGUCACAGAAGCCACCUGAGAUGGAUGUCAUCAGAAGAAACUGUAGAGUCACUAAGCCACCAGGUUGAGCUGUUAUCAACAAAGCCCAUAGGCACUGUGUUUCCUACAAAUACCUUGGUUCUCCAAGGAAGGGCAAUCUCACUUGGCUUAGUGUUUAUCGCAUUGGACAUCAUUUUCCACCAAAACAGGCUGAGCAGAACAUCCCCUGAAACCCCUUUGCACAGAAUGGUUAUUUCCUUGGAGGGGGAGACAGAGCUUGGUCCCUGAGUCUCCAAAGUCACACAGCCAAGGUAAAGUGUAGCCAGGGUUUGGCGGUUUCUUGCAUUAGCAACAGCAUGUCUCUAAUUCUUGCCCAGUGUUAAAGUUGUACUGAUUCACUCCCCUAGAGAACAGGUGUGAUUCAGAAGGAUUGGAGGGGGAAAAUGGUACCUAAACACCUAAACUCGCUCUUAAAACUACACAUUUAAUCCAGCAAAGACAAGGAGAAAUGUCUGGAGAAAAAGCAGGGCCACACUGAGCAGACACAUGGAUAAAAGUGGGAGGGGCAAGGUGCCUGGGAGAGCCAUCGUUAGUUCUGAAACAGCUGCGUUUAUUCACUUUGCUUUUUACCCAUCGGAUCAAUACCACAUAAACGUGAGAGAAUGGGAGACAAGAGGAAAAGGAGAGGGAGGUUAUGCAAAACUUGAGAUUUAAGCUGAAGUUCUAGAAACUGGAAACUUCUACAGCUGACGCAUGUAAACCUGGUGUGUCUUUGGGUAGCUAUUACAAGGCUGGAGGAUGUCAAAGACAGCUCUGGAACACCAUGGUUCUCUUCUGUUUGUUUUCUCUACCGUAAACUUAAGUACCAGACAGAAAAUUGCUUGAUAAUAAACAUGUAUUAUCACAAAAUAUAA